rnacentral:lncRNA from 1 species
CUUUGUGUUCAUGUGCAUUCAAUGUUUAGCUGCCACUUAUAGGUGAGAACAUGUAGUAUUUGGUUUUCUCUUUCGUUUAGCUCAUUUAGGAUAGUGGCCUCCAGCUCUAUCCACGUUCUGACAAAGAAAACCUUGUUGGGAGUUUGAUUAGACGGCUGAGAAAGACAGCAAAUCUACAGGGUUUGUCAAAGAUAAGAUCGUUGUCAUGGCAUGAAAAGGAUGACCUUUCCAGUCUGCAAUACCUGCUUGACCACUAAGACCAAACAGCUCAAAUUAAAGGAUCCCAUGACCGAGACACCUCAUGCCUUCCAGAAGCUGAAGGUGAAAGCUCACUAAGAUUAAACAACUGGGAAAUGUUAAAUGAAAAAGUAUCACAGCUGAGACAAAGCUCCUCAGCCUCAGCAUGUUUGUCAGUGUGCCCAACUGAUGUAGUUUGGCUCUGUGCCCCCAUCCAAUUCUCAUCUUGAAUUGUAAUCCUUAUAAUCUCCACAUGUCAAGGGAGGGACGUGGUGGGAGGUGAUUGGAUCAUGGGGGACAUUUCCCUCAUGCUGUUCUCAUGAUAGUGAGUGAGUUGUCAUGAGUUUUGAUGGUUUCAUGUGUUUGACAGUUCCUCCUUCACACACUCUCUCUCUUCUGCCACCUUAUGAAGAAGGUGCCUGCUUCCCCUUCACAUUCCAUCAUGAUUCUAAGUUUCCUGAGCUCCCCCCCAGCCAUGUGGAACUGUGAGCCAACUGAACUUCUUUCCUUUAUAAAUUACCCAGUCUCAGGCAUUUAUAAUAGUGUG